rnacentral:lncRNA from 1 species
GACGCGGCCCCCACCCUUAACCCCUAGCCUCCAGGGAUCCCAGACAUCCUCCCGGCUCCCUAGAGCCCUCCCCUGUUCUCAGCCCCGUUAGACCCUCCCCUCAGAGCAGAACGCGUUUGCGCUCUAUGUCCCUCCGCAGCCCCUCCACCGUCCUCUCUGCCCCCAAAGGUACCUCCCCACCUCCACUUUAGUCUCACCCCUAAGUACCCCGAAGAAAGCCAAUAUUUCCUUCUCUCCGCAGCGUCCCAGAUAUUAACCGUUCUAUCUCAAUGGUUUUCAGAUUUUAUCUUGCCUCUUGGGUACCCUUUGGGACCCUUAUGUCAUCCCCACCAUCAGGGCACCCAGACUUAACCCUAACUGCAAGUCCCAGACUCACUCUGGUCCUUAUUGAUGAGCCAGGUGUCCCUGGAGUCAAGUGGCUCACUGUCACCGAUUUCAUUCCGAGCCACCACUCUGAAGUAGUACUUCCUGCCUGGGAGCAGCCCCGUCACUGUGUACUUGUUGCUGAAGACACGCUCGGCUGCCGUGUACCAGGUGGCUGUGCUUGCAUCCCGCUUCAUGAUGAUGUAGUGAGCCUCACCGUCCUCCUGCACAUCUGGGCUGUGGUUCCAGGCAUCUGCCAAGUCCGAUGGAAGAUAAGAUGGGGCAAGUCUCAGGCAGCUGGUGUCUUGGAGUCGGAAAACUAUUUCUGAAGUCUGCUCUGCCAUUUACUAGCCUCGUGACCUGGGGUGAGGAAACUGAAGCUCAGAGGGAAAGCAGCUUGCCCAAGAUGGUGGGAGAGCUGAUAAUAAAGUGAUACUAAUCUACUGCAGAUGCUGAGUUCCAGGCACCACGCUCCACCACCUGGGCAGGUGGAUGAUUGACAUGGGUCUGC